rnacentral:rRNA from 1 species
GAUGAACGCUGGCGGCGUGCCUAAUACAUGCAAGUCGAGCGAACGGACGAGGAGCUUGCUUUUCUGAUGUUAGCGGCGGACGGGUGAGUAACACGUGGAUAACCUACCUAUCAGACUGGGAUAACUUCGGGAAACCGGAGCUAAUACCGGAUAAUCUUUUGAACCGCAUGGUUCAAAAGUGAAAGACGGUCUUGCUGUCACUUAUAGAUGGAUCUGCGCUGCAUGAGCUAGUUGGGAAGGUAACGGCCUACCAAGGCAACGAUGCAUAGCCGACGUGAGAGGGGGAUAGGCCACAUGAGAGCGUGGCCGGGGUCAAGACUCCUACGAGAGGCAGCAGACUGCAAUCGUCCGCAAUAGGGGGAAACCUUGCGCAGUAACGCCGCGUCAGUGGUGAAGGUCUUCGGAUCGGAAAACUCUGUUACUAGGGAAGAACAUAUGUGUAAGUAGCUGUGCACAUCUUGACGGUAACGAGUCAGAAAGCCACGGCUAACUACGUG